rnacentral:rRNA from 1 species
GAUGAACGCUGACAGAAUGCUUAACACAUGCAAGUCGAACGAAGUGGCGAACGGGUGAGUAAUACGUGGGUAACCUGCCCUCCUUUUUGGGAUAAGCCUUGGAAACGGGGUCUAAUACCGAAUAAAGGGGGAUGGGCUCGCGGCCUAUCAGCUUGUUGGUGGGGUGAUGGCCUACCAAGGCGGUGACGGGUAGCCUGCCUGAGAGGGUGACCGCCACCAUUGGGCCUGCGAUACGGCCCAGGCUCCUACGGUGUGCAGCAGUGGGGGAUAUUGCACAUUGGUCGCAAGCCUGAUGCGGCUACGCCGCGUGGGGGAUGAAGGCUUUCGGGUUUUAACCCUCUUUCGCUUUCGAACGGGUAUGUGGCGAAGUAGCGCCUGCUAACUACGUGCCAGCAGCCGCGGUACUAC